CAGCCGCCGCGGUAAUACGAAGGGUGCAAGCGUUAAUCGGAAUUACUGGGCGUAAAGCGUGCGUAGGUGGUGGUUUAAGUCCGUUGUGAAAGCCCUGGGCUCAACCUGGGAAUUGCAGUGGAUACUGGGUCACUAGAGUGUGGUAGAGGAUAGUGGAAUUUCCGGUGUAGCAGUGAAAUGCGUAGAGAUCGGAAGGAACAUCUGUGGCGAAGGCGACUAUCUGGGCCAACACUGACACUGAGGCACGAAAGCGUGGUGAGCAAACAGGAUUAGAUACCCCCGUAGUCCCUGUCUCUUAUAC
rnacentral:rRNA from 1 species